GACGUAGGGCGCGAGCGUUGUUCGGAUUUAUUGGGCGUAAAGAGCUCGUAGGCGGCUCAUUGCGUCAACCGUGAAAACCUGCAGCUUAACUGUGGGCUUGCGGUUGAUACGGGUGGGCUGGAGUUCGGUAGGGGAGACUGGAAUUCCUGGUGUAGCGGUGAAAUGCGCAGAUAUCAGGAGGAACACCGGUGGCGAAGGCGGGUCUCUGGGCCGAUACUGACGCUGAGGAGCGAAAGCGUGGGGAGCGAACAGG
rnacentral:rRNA from 1 species